AGAGUUUGAUCCUGGCUCAGGAUGAACGCUAGCGGCAGGCCUAAUACAUGCAAGUCGGACGGGAUUGAGUAGCUUGCUAUUCAUGAGAGUGGCGCACGGGUGCGUAACACGUAUGUAACCUACCUUAGUCAGGGGGAUAGCCUCUCGAAAGAGAGAUUAAGACCGCAUAAAAUUACGAUGUGGCAUCACAAUGUAAUCAA
rnacentral:rRNA from 1 species